rnacentral:lncRNA from 1 species
UGGUGAGCAUCGUUAAGAGUCUUCCUUCUAAUUGUCUUCCUUCAAGUUACUGGCAAGCAGGUAGUACUCUCUUGAAAUCCUAAGUAUUGAGUGGUGGACAGAUGUUUCUGUGGUUUUUUUGAGAUAUCUACCAUCAUGAUCACAUUAAUAACCAAUAGAAAACAUUUCACCAUUAUAUUUUGCUUCCAUACAAUUUCAGGAAAUGUGCUGUGGUUCUAGUAAGUUUCUGUGAAUAAGUAAAAAUAUAAUACUCCAUCCAGCUGCACAAAUCUUAAAGU